rnacentral:rRNA from 1 species
GACCUCAGUUCAGGUGAGAUUACCGGCUGAAUUUAAGCAUAUUACUAAGCCGAGGAAAAGAAACUAACAAGGAUUCCCCUAGUAGCAGCGAGCGAACAGGGAAGAGCCCAGCGCUGAAUCCCCCGGGCCUCGCUCGGCGGGAAAUGUAGCGUUUGGGAGGGCCCGUCAACACGGCGACUCGCUCACUGGUUCAAGUCCAACUUGAAUGGGGCCACACAGAGGGUGACAGGCCCGUAGAGCAGGAGCGGUUGUCGUGUGGGUCUCUCCUUAGAGUCGGUUUGCUUGAGAGUGCAGACUUAAGUGGGUGGUAAACUCCAUCUAAGGCUAAAUAUGACCACGAGACCGAUAGCACACAAGUACCGUGAGGGAAAGGUGAAAAGAACUUUGAAGAGAGAGUUCAAGAGUACGUGAAACUGAAGUGGUGUAAACGGACGAGUUCGAAAAGUCCGAAUGGUGAGAUUCAAGCUUACCGUGCCGGUGGCCCUCGGGUUCAGAUGGCGUCGUCAGCUCGGGCUUCGGUUCGGGUCAUACGGCGUCACUCGUCCUGGGGGUAUCUGUCUGGUGCGGUGGGCUGCACUUCUCGCCUAGUAGGACGUCGCGACCCGUUGGGAUGUUCCGUUCACUGGCCCUCGGUGGAGCCCGCGCCGGAGCGUGGCCUUGUGCCGCGUUGCUGUUUGCACGGACCCGGGGUGACCUGAUCGGCGCCCGACGGUAUCAAAGCUUGGGAAGAGGCCGCACAGAGGAUGCGUUCGAUGGCCGUUUCGGCCUACACUCGGACAGGCCUGCACCCGGUCAGCGGCGCU